UCAUCUCUCAGCUGGACAGUAAGGGCCGUUCACACCACACUGACAACAUGCUGGGGACACUCUGCACUCUCUUCACUGCUCUAACAUAUGGAGAUCUGGCUACACCUGCUGUGACUCUGUUCCCUCCAUCCACUGAAGACCUCAAGUCCAGCAGAGCAACACUGGUGUGUCUGACUAGUGACCUGUCUCAGAGAUCCAAGGGGUUGGCAGAUGUCAGCUGGAUGUCUAGCGGUGAAUCAGUGAUAGGAGAUGUUUCUACCAGCCCUGCUGAGCAGCAACCAGACAACACCUUCAGGAUCAGCAGCUAUCUGACCAUUCAGACUGCAGACUGGGACAAGGACGUGGUGUUCACAUGUAAAGUGUCGUUGGGGUCAACAUUCUCUGAGAAAGAGAUCAGAAAGACUAGUUGCAGUCUGUAAAUCAAUAGUUUCAGACAAUCAAUACAACUGGUAGUUUGUUAAUGCUUCAGAAUGAGUGCAACUGUUAUUUCAUUAGAACUGUUAAGUGAUGUGUUGAUCUUUGCUUUGCUGUUAAAUAUAGAAGUUAAAAUCCUAACAACAUGGAUGAUAUUGGAAUAGUAUGACCAUAACCAAUGUAAUGUCAAAUAGUUGUUGAGGGCUGUUUGUCAUCACAAGUUACUAUUGAUGCAUUCCCUGUACCAGCAUCAUGUUCUCUAGAACAUAACAUCUGAAAUACUGUCAUGAUGACUAGAUCUCUCUACUAUUGUGAAAUGAGUUGAAUUACUAAUGAUAAAGGAAUAGUUAGAGCUUUGCUGUAUUGUGGAUAUUAAAUAAAGAACAUUCUAAAGAACA